GAACGUCCUCUGUCUCUUCGGAGGCAGAGGGAGUGGCGGACGGGUGAGUAACACAUGGGUGACCUACCCCCUGGUGAGGGAUACCGGCGAGAAAUCGCCGACAAGCCCGCAUAGGCUGGCUCUGGUCGAGCGGAGCGAGCAAAGUCUUCUUUCGGGGAGACGCCAGGGGAUGGGCCUGUGGCCGAUUAGCUGGUUGGUGGGGUAAGAGCCUACCAAGGCUGCGAUCGGUAGCUGGUCUGAGAGGACGAACAGCCACACUGGGAUUGAGAACGGCCCAGACUCCUACGGGGGGCAGCAGUGAGGAAUUUUCCGCAAUGGGCGAGCAGCCUGACGGAGCAACGCCGCGUGCAGGAGGACGCUUUUCGGAGUGUAAACUGCUUUUCUGUGGGACGAGAGAGGACGGUACCACAGGAAGAAGCCCCGGCUAACUACGUG
rnacentral:rRNA from 1 species